rnacentral:rRNA from 1 species
UACGUAGGCAGCAAGCGUUGUUCGGAGUUACUGGGCGUAAAGGGUGCGUAGGCGGUUGUUUUAAGUUUGGUGUGAAAUCUCCCGGCUCAACUGGGAGGGUGCGCCGAAUACUGAAUGACUAGAGUGCGGGAGAGGAGAGUGGAAUUCCUGGUGUAGCGGUGAAAUGCGUAGAUAGUCAGGAGGAACACCGGUGGUGUAGACGGCUCUCUGGACCGUAACUGACGCUGAGGCACGAAAGCGUGGGUAGCAAACAGG